AAUAAUUUUAUUAUGUAUCAUAAAUUUACAAUUUCAUCUAAUUAGAGUUUUAAAACCAAAUCAAAUUACAAACUAAGAAUAAAGCCAAAAAUAAAUUACAAUAAAAAUUAAAUCAGAUCAAGCCAUGCUACGUUGACUUUGUUCACUGCCAAACCCUGCUAUGUUGAUGUUGACUGCCAUUGAUGCACAAACCAUGCUUAUUGAUACAUCUGUUCCUGUUUUAACUAAAUAGAGAAAUAAAAAGAUAACUUUUAUAAAUAAGCCAUUGUACACAUUAUAGUGAACAAAGAGACAAAUUUUAGAGUUUAAAAAAAAAGAAACUAAAAGACAAAUAAAAGCUCAGCAAUGAACAGAUCAGAACAAAUAAUCUAAAUUUAUGAAAGCAUCAAAUGUGCAGAAAAAUGCAGAUGAUGAGCAAAGAAAACGAAACAUCAAACAGGACAUUGAUGGAGAAAGACCAAGGCAAGCAAGAAAGCAACUAAACAGAUAAAAAAACUCUAUAUAUACGCCCUAUCAAAUUUCAAAAAGGAAGGGGGGAUCUGAGAAAAAAAACACUACUGAUAUUAAAAAAUCACAUCUAAAGAAGAGAGUUUUAGUUUUUUUUCGAAAAAAUAAGUAAGAAAAAGAGAAAUGUUUUAGAAUAUGAGAGAUUCUGAAAUAGAAAACAAGAGACAGAGAAUAUUACCGUCACUCUAGCUUCCACCGGUAACCGCCGUCAACCACCAUCAACCGUUACACCCCGCCAUCUUCUUCUUCACCACUAUACAAAUCUGUGUCUCUCAAGUUAGUCUUUGUUCUUCAUCUCUUUUAAUAUAGUGUUUCAUUUGUUUUGUAGUUUAUUUGGUGAAGCUUUAAUUUCAUUGCUCCAUAUCAUUUUCAUUUGCUUUGCUG
rnacentral:lncRNA from 1 species